GAUGAACGCUGGCGGCGUGCCUAAUACAUGCAAGUCGAACGGGCUCUUCGGAGCUAGUGGCGGACGGGUGAGUAACACGUUGGUACCUACCCUCUAGUGGGGAAUAACUGGCCGAAAGGUCGGCUAAUACCGCAUAACACCGCAAGGUUAAAGCAGAAAUGCGCUAGAGGAGGGGCCUGCGUCCGAUUAGCUAGUUGGUAGGGUAAUGGCUUACCAAGGCUACGAUCUGUAACCGGUCUUAGAGGACGGUCGGUCACACUGACACUGAAUAACGGGUCAGACUCCUACGGGAGGCAGCAGUCGGGAAUUUUGGGCAAUGGGCGAAAGCCUGACCCAGCAACGCCGCGUGAAGGAUGAAGUAUUUCGGUAUGUAAACUUACGAAAGAAUGGGAAGAAUCAAUGACGGUACCAUUUAUAAGGUCGGCUAACUACGUGCCAGCCGCCGCCGUAAC
rnacentral:rRNA from 1 species